UUUAAGUACCAUUUACUUACACUUAUAUUUUGAGUAUGUUGUCUAACUCUCUUUUAUGUGUUAUGUGCUGGACCGUUGGGGGUCCAGAUUUUACAGGAUUUUGUGGUAUUCGAUGUCGAGUCGUCGGUGAAGCUCCGCUCUGAUUGUGACACGGGAAAGGGUUGUAUUUAGACUAUAGGGUCUUUAUGACUUUCGAAAUUUAUUUGUAAAACCAUACAUUUUGAUAAAUGAUUAUUUUGUAUAAACACUGUUUUUACUAAUUAAUUACAUUAGUAUUAUUUUGGUAGAGGAGUGUAAUACUCGAACCGAUAUUCAAUAAAUUAAAUGUGAUUUUCCGUUGCGU
rnacentral:lncRNA from 1 species